rnacentral:rRNA from 1 species
UACGUAGGGGGCAAGCGUUGUCCGGAAUUAUUGGGCGUAAAGCGCGCGCAGGCGGUAAUUUAAGUCUGGUGUAUAAACUUAGGGCUCAACCUUAGGACGCAUUGGAAACUGGGUUACUGGAGUGUAGGAGAGGAAAGUGGAAUUCCACGUGUAGCGGUGAAAUGCGUAGAGAUGUGGAGGAACACCAGUGGCGAAGGCGGCCAUCUGGGACAACACUGACGCUGAAGCACGAAAGCGUGGGGAGCAAACAGG